rnacentral:pre_miRNA from 1 species
AAGAUACUUCCUCCGUCCGGAAAUACUUGUCCGAGAAAUGAAUGUAUCUAAAUGUAUUUUAGUUUUAGAUACAUCCGUUUUCAUCCAUUUAUGUGACAAGUAAUUUCAGACGGAGGGAGUAGUUG